CAGUCGCCGCGGUAAUACAGAGGGUGCGAGCGUUAAUCGGAUUUACUGGGCGUAAAGCGUGCGUAGGCGGCUUUUUAAGUCGGAUGUGAAAUCCCUGAGCUUAACUUAGGAAUUGCAUUCGAUACUGGGAAGCUAGAGUAUGGGAGAGGAUGGUAGAAUUCCAGGUGUAGCGGUGAAAUGCGUAGAGAUCUGGAGGAAUACCGAUGGCGAAGGCAGCCAUCUGGCCUAAUACUGACGCUGAGGUACGAAAGCAUGGGGAGCAAACAGGAUUAGAUACCCCCUAGUCCCUGUCUCUUAUACA
rnacentral:rRNA from 1 species